rnacentral:rRNA from 1 species
AGACCGGUUUAUUGGUCGUGCUUUUGUACGUACUGGUAUUAUUGGUUUCUCCUUUCUGACGAAUCUUAAUGCCAUUAAUUUGGUGUUGCGGGGAAUUUGGACUGUUACUUUGAAAAAAUUAGAGUGUUUAAAGCAAGCUAACGCUUGAAUACAUUAGCAUGGAAUAAUGAAAUAGGACGUUCGAUCCUAUUUUGUUGGUUUCUAGGAUUGACGUA